CAGUAGCCGCGGUAAUACAGAGGGUGCGAGCGUUAAUCGGAUUUACUGGGCGUAAAGCGUGCGUAGGCGGCUUUUUAAGUCGGAUGUGAAAUCCCUGAGCUUAACUUAGGAAUUGCAUUCGAUACUGGGAAGCUAGAGUAUGGGAGAGGAUGGUAGAAUUCCAGGUGUAGCGGUGAAAUGCGUAGAGAUCUGGAGGAAUACCGAUGGCGAAGGCAGCCAUCUGGCCUAACACUGACGCUGAGGUACGAAAGCAUGGGGAGCAAACAGGAUUAGAUACCCCUGUAGUCCCUGUCUCUUAUAC
rnacentral:rRNA from 1 species